GCAGGGACCACAGGGUCGCGAGGGUCAAGUCCAGGUCCAGCACACAGGAGGGGCUUCUGUCCGCCCUGGAGCGGGGUUGGGGGAGGCGAGGGUGUCCGGGGCACCUGCGGCCUCUCAGACACUGAGCUAUGGGCUGCCCCCCUGAGCGCGACAACGUCCAGCGGCCGCUCAGUGGGCAGGAGGGUACAGGCGCGCCGCCCUGGUGGGGACGUCCAUACCCGGGCGAGAAUUCCAGACCGCACUUGUGACCACACAGAUUCGGUGCCUUUUUUGUUGCUGUGUUUGGUUACUCUAUUCCAUAACUUCUUCUUUGGGUAUAAUUUCAAGCUUACAGAAAAGUUGCAAGCCUAAUAUAGGGAGUUCCUGCGCACCCUUCGCCCAGGUUCGCCAGCUGUGUGCGUUUGUCCCGUGGCUGUAGCACUUUUUGUGUGUGUGUGUGUGUGUACGUGUUUACUCCCAUCCCUUUGGAGAGUAAAGUGCAGACACGAGACCCUCUGUUCCUAAAUCCCAUAACUAUAGCAGCAUGACCCCCGUGGGGACACCGAACAUCUCACAGAUGUCAGGCCGUCAGAGCACGACGGCGUAUUCAGUCUCCCUCCGUGAACACACCACCCAGCCCGCAGUGCUCAGUGGCUCUGAGAAGCGCUCUGUGGCCGUCCCUGCUUCCGGGGUUCAGGGCUCAGUUACGCGGUCUGUCUCGUCCCCUUAACUUGGAACAGUCUCUCGGCCUGUCUUUGUCUUUCUUGACAUGUUGAUUCUGAAGAAUGUGUUUCUCGUUUUGACCCACGAGCUGGGAACUAUGGCAGCUAUUUGGAGUGAAGUUCGGAGGACUGAGCACAUGAUGAAGUUGAUGUCCCCACAUCCGGUCAGCACUCAAGUCCUGUCAUGUGGUUCUGACGGGCAGCCGUCACGUGCUCUUGGGUGAGGGUGGCACGGCCUCGUAGCCAGGGGCACGCUUCUCACCCGACUGCUCCAGGCUGUGUGACCUGGGCUAAGUCGCCUACCCUCUCUGUGUCCAAGUCUCCUUGUCUGUGAAAUGGGGAUGAAGAUGGCACCCGCCUCAUGGGAUAGUCAUGAGGAUUAUGCGUUCAUACUCGUGAGGGGCCGGGAACAGCGCCCAGCACAAACGCGUGACACAGGAGCCUUUCUGGGACACACUGGCUGUCUGGCUUCACUCACAUGAUCUCCGAGCUGCAGCGGCAUCACACCACUUCUUGGGGACCGGGGCUCAGUCACACGGGGUGUGUUCCCGCGUCUCCCACUUCCUUUCCCCUGGGCUCUCCCCGCACUCACACACACCCACGUGCACAGGCACGUGCACACGGGCGAGCACACGUGCCUGCACACCCGGGAGAGCAGAACCAGCCUGACGCACACGGUCCUCGGGGCUGGUGCACCAGCCUGGUGCUCGCCGGCUCGCGCGCUCAUCAGUGUUCCCGACAUCAGGGCUUCAUGUGUUACUGUAACGUUAACAACCACAUCCGCAGGGCUGGGCUACAAUUAAUCGGCAGCGUGCGCGUGCCCACAGGCUGUCGUAAACACUUCCCACACGCUCUCUCAUGGAAGCCGCUGUACGAGAAGGCGAAGGAAGCCAGCGGCGGCUCAGGCUGGAAGGAGGCUUGACAAGACUGAUCUGGGGGCUUCCUCCCCUCUCCCGCACCUGGCUUCUGCACCACGAGAGGAGGGCACAGGUGGCCCUUCCCAAUGCCCUGCACUCAUGGAAACAGAAAAGGGAUUUGUUACGGGAACCGUGAGGAUCCUGCAGGAUCUCAGGAACGGCUGGAGGACAAGGUGGUAAGGUUCUGCAGCCGGAAACAGCCUCUAAGAUCACACCACAAAACUGGUCUGGUGGGACCUCCCCCCCACCAGGUGGCUGAGCAUAGGCAUGCAGCCUGGGGUGGGAGUCUGGAUUCUCCUGUCUGCCCCACACUCAAGGUUACCAGAUAAAACACAAGAAACCCAGUUCAAUCGGAAUUGCAGAUAAACAAUGAAUAAUAUUUUCGUAAAAGUAGGUUCCACACAGUAUUUUGUUAUUACAUUUUAUCUUCCUUAAAUCCACCAUUCCUACCCACUGCUCCUGAAGGCCCCACUGUUUCUCUGAGAGAAGCCUCUGGACACUAAGUGCCUUGAACCAGGGGCUCCCAGUUCCAAGGAUUGGAGGCGUGCUGCUUGCGUGCGCCUUAGCUGCGGGGAGGGGGGGUCUGGGGAAGUGGGCAUCCAGGAGGAGGGGGCUCCACCUCACAGGCUGGGGACCCCGCAGCCGAUGGCCGGCACCCGGCUCUAGGCUCCUGCUGGAGAGCCUGUGGAGGCGAAGAACCAGACUCCCCCCAGAUCUGCCGUGUGUUCCAUGAGAUUUGGCCUUUGAUAUACAAGCAUCCUUUCCUUCAGUCUGUUUUCUCUGCCAGAGAGUUUUAUGUCUACUUAGAUACAACCUCCACUAAAAGGAACCAGGGCUCCUUGGAGAAAUGACUGAUUCCAGGCUGGGGAGAGGAAAGGACAGGAUGAGCCGGGAACAUCUUGUUGUGCCAGAAGGGAUGAAGCUCAAGUCAAAGGCACGCGGAAGCCAGCUGGCCCGGCGCCCGCUGCUCCGUCUGGGACGAGCCAGCCGCGGGGUGGAAAAUGUGCGAGGCAGCGCCGCCCCUGGCACGGCGCUACAGUCAACCUUACCAGCGUGUGUGCGCAGGUAUGACGCACGCACGUCAUACAGAAAGUAUAUUCAAAUAUACAACAUACUUACAGAACAUAAAAUACAACAUAAGCGUGUGUGUGAGUAAAGGAAGAGCGGACACGCCAGGGUUGUACCAACUAAUAAAAGUGGAAGGUUGAGCGACAUCAGAAAAGUUACCGUUUGACACCCACCCCAGAAUACUUCCUUCAGGCAAGAAUUAUCAAUGGAGGCGAAAACUAACGGGUGAGAGUUUCAUGGGGAAUGGGGUAUUUACAUAGUCUCAACAUAGGUCUCCCCAAGAUAAUUAUUUAUUACAAAAAAAAAAAAAAAAGACCUUUGCGGUGGAGAAAUGUGGCAGACAUCACCUUUACCAAGUGAUCAAAGUUGACAUCAAUGGCAACAGCACGAACAGACGCGUGCCUCCGGCGACCCACACUGAGCCAGGGACAGCAUCACGUGUGGGGGAUCCCUGCCCCGAAUGUCUAACCAGAGUCUCCCUAAUGAAGAAACACCCGACGAACUCAAUUUGAGGGACGCCCUACAAAAUAUUCGGCCACUGAUCUUUAAAACGUCACAAAAGGUGAAGAUACAGGGAGGUGCCUGCCCGAGUCAAGGACACUAAAAAGACAUGGAGGCUGAAUGAGAUUCGUGAUUUGAGAGUUGCUGUUACCACGGGGAUGUUCCUGGGACGGGGGCGAAAUCUGAGCAAGGUCUCUACCUGUAGAUUCAGUCGCAGAAUGUAUCCACUUUAAUUUUCCAACUGAGAUAAAUAUACCAGGAUUUAUGUAAGGAAAUCUCUCCUUCUGAGCAAGAGAAUGCCCUUAUUCUUAGGAAAUACGCACAAAUGUGUUUAGAGGCAAAGAGGGUCUCGUGUCUGCAACUUCCUCUUAAAUAACUGAGAAAAGAAAAGGACCCAGCAAAUGUGGUAAAUGCUAGUUAACGCCUGGGGAACCCAAAUGGAGGGUAUUUGGGGAUACUGGUAACAUUUUGAAACUCUUCCGCAAGUCCGAAAUUAACUGAAAAGCCCAAACGGACCCUCUUGUCCCUUUGGGGCUUCCCUUAACUGAGGUGGAAGCCAGGACAGGGUGGGGGCUGCCGCCGCCAGAAGGUUCAGGGGAGGGUUUUAGAGGGAAAAAGCCCUGGGGGAGCACAGCACGUUUGUUAAAAUCAUGCUAUUAGUUGCAGUAACAGCUAACAUGUUAAAGCUUUAAUUACGUGCCAGGCUUCCAAACGCUUUUUUAAAAAAUGAUGUUAGAGGCGCCUGGGUGGCUCAGUCGGUGAAGCAUCCGCCUUCAGCUCAGGUCAUGGUCUCAGGGUCCUGGGA